GGUCGAGUGGGUUGUGUGGGGCAAGAAUCAGGAAGAAGGAGGUUGCUCUUCGUAAUCCGGCUUGUUUAUCCAACAAACAACAAAACAGGGCAGGAUUGUUCCGAGAUGCCGGAAGGCGGCCUUGAGAAAGCCCGCACUGGACAGAGAGGUCUGCUCAAGAAUGCACAGGGCCUGGGAAAGGCAGAGAGGGCUGGAAGCUGGUGUGAGAACGCAGGGAAGGGCCCGUGCUGCGGCGCUGGCUCCAGAGCGUCGAUUGUGGGCAUUUCUUCCCAGCUCUGUGGUCCAUGAGGUCACUACGAGGAAAACCGGUGACUUUUAACUAGAAGCCGACUUUCGACAGCAGGAGCGUGCCAUGUGCACGCGAAGAGCAGGUCCAGCUGAACAUGGUCUUCCCAGGUGAUGACAAGCAAAAGGGUGCAGUCACUCGGGAAGCCGGCCGGCCACUGUCCACUGUCACAGCAGCCAGGCAAGUGUGGUACUCAGAGCCCCGCAUGCAAACCUCGGGAUACGACGCAGGAUUUUUAAAGGCUGGAUCUGAAAGCCACUAGAUCAUGGGAUUCUAAAAACGUCUGUUCUAAAUUGUCAGCACAAUGCUCAAGGCCAACUGCUCCGUGCCAGGAAAGGGAUCCCCGGAGCACAUGGGCAGGUGCCAGAAGGGCUGAUGAAAUGCUGCAGUUUCGGGCAGUGCUUCCAGGAAACCAGUCCCAUGAGAUUGCUCCCUGUAGCGAGAUGGGCGAUGCCUGCACAAGGCCUGGGGACACUGUCCACAUCCACUGAGGAUGUGACUGGGUCCCUGGAGUGGGAAACAGCAGACCUGCCCAUCGCUGAGACCGUGUCAAACUAAGGCCCAGAGCUCUGGCCUCGUCCUUUUAGGGACAGAGAGUUGUGACUUGGUCUGGGAAGAGAAGCAGGUGGCAAGGUGGGGAGUGACAUCCCUCCCUAGAGAGGGGAAGCCCCACCCCUCCAGCCUCUGGUCCAACAGGCAGCAGUACCAGUCCUCUGAGCCGGCUGCCUCUUCUCACAUCUCUCUCCAGAGUGCGCUUGCCAGCGAAUAAAGGUUUAGAGUAAUCAGGCCCCAAAUAUGGCUUGUGAUUGAUUUACACUAAAAAAUUAUUGUCUGAAAUUCACAUUUGACUGUGCAUCCUGUGUUUUAAAAAAUUUUAUCGAUGUCAUCCUUUUUAAAAAGCAGUUGUAGGUUCACAGCAAACAGGAGCAGAACGUACAGAGAAUUCUCACAUCCCACAUACCCUCUAUCGUCCCCUCCCCAACCAGCCUCUCCCACAGCCCACACCCCUCGCCAGAGGGCUGUGUUUGUUAUAAGCCAUGAACCUACAGUGACACGUCAUCACCCGGAGUCCACAGCUGACCUCGGGGUUCACUCUUGGCGGUAUGGGCGGAUGUAUAAUGACCUGUAUCCAUCUGGAGGAGGGUCGGCCCUAAAUCCAAUGACGAGUGUCCUUAUGAGAGGAGAAGGCCCUGUGAAGAUGGAGGCAGGCUUUGGAAGGAUGUGUCUACAAGCCAAGGGAUGCCACGGCUAGCUGGCUGUCACCAGACCCUGGGAGAGAACGCUGGAACGAUUCUCCCUCAGCCUCCAGAAGGACCCCACCCUGCUGACACCUGGAUUUCAGACUCCUGGUCUCCAGAACUGAGAGAGGAUCAAUUUCUGUCGUCUGAAGCCACUCAGUUUGUGGGCAUGCGUUACGGUCACCCUAGGACACCGAAACAGGACGUGAUGAGGAAAGGGAGAUAAACACGUCAGUCAAGGUACAGCCUCCGUACAAGAGAGCCACACACGCGGCAAACCCGAAACCGUUUCUAGAGGUAGACCAGGGAAGACAACAUGUGUGCUGUUUAUCACAACAGGAAAACUAAACAACAAGGACAAGAAGGGAGAAGUGGCCACACGGCACAGAUAAAAAUGUGAGAAAUGCUAUAUUUCACAAUUUUAUCUGUUCUGCCACUCUGACUCAGUGAUCAAUGAGGAUCUGUCUUUUUUCCACCCAAAAAGAACAUGUUGCAUAAGCUCAGGCUUCCAGGGACCAGCGGAAAGCAGAAAACACCAUCUGAAGCUCUCCCCAGUCAGCUCAACGAGUGGCCCCCGUUCCCCAGACGGCGUCCGCGAAGCCGUAGAGAUGAGCUGAUGUCUGCUCACCCCGGGAGGGAGGCGGGGGCGCAGGUACUGACGGUGCCAGUUCAGGGGUUCAAGAGAAAAUGCCGGCAGGCGGCUUCAGCAAAGACUUAGAAUUUGUCGGCAUCAGUGCUCUUUCCCGGAGAAAAGCCUUCUUGGAAAUUCUGCGUUUUCUUAAGGAACACGAAGAACAUUUCCAAGGGCGUGUUAGGCCUCAGCCUUUCAGAACAACCCUGUUUGCUAAGCUUUGUGCCUCGCCCAUCUCUGCCAGUCAGCACCUGAAGGUGUCCCCAGGGCAGGGGAGGGAGGGAAUUUGAGAUCAGAGGGCCACCGUGGUGUUUGGGGACACUGGAAAUGACGGGUGGCCCUCCAUGCCCUGGACACCUGGGUCUGGGCUGUUGUCUCCUUCACAUGUGGUCCCUCCUGCUUUGCUUCAUCAGUGGCAGGACAGGGUUACCUCUGCAGCGAGCCCCACUGGGCCACGUCCACGGCAACCUUAAUAGAGAGGGGCAGCGCCAGUCUGACGGACAACCCACGUGUUCGGCAUCCAGGGACGCCACGAUGAAGUGCCCACCUCACACAGCGCUCCCUUCCCCCCGUGUCCUGAAACCCCCUCCUCUGGGGAGCCCCAGACAAUGCAUUGCUUCCUCCACGGUUCUUCCCCGAACACGCAGCCUGUGACCCUGUUACAAUACUUAGCGCACAGCCAGUGGUCCCGUCAGGAGACAGAAACCACACAGCUGUUUUAGCAGAGACAAUUUAAUAAAGAAGAAUGUAGCAGGAUUGCCAUCUGGGUAUAAAGUUAUUGGCACCUUGUUUAUAAAGGUCCUGUGAGAACCCCAAGGCAUCACGGGGUAGAACUGUAGGCAGCAGCUACCUCCUAAAGAGAAGGGGUUGGAGGGAUGAUAACGUGGAAGCCGGGAAGGGAGACCCCACGGUGCUCAACGUCUGACCUCUGGGGAGGAGACACCGGCCAGCCAAUGGGGUGGGUGUCUCUGAGGGGGACAGUGUCACUGAUUCUGCAAGUAAUGGAAGUAUGCAGACUGCAUCAACUGCGGUGUGAGAAGGAACAGCCACUGCUACAGUGAAGAAGUGUCACUGGGGAUGCUCCCAGAAACAGGGAGCAGACAGGAAGGACCCGUCCCUCCACCUCCAGCCCUGCAGCCUCCUCCGGCGUCCACUCCCGGCGGAGCCCCCCGGGGAACAGCUGGCGUGGUUUGCAGCAUCCCAGCCCCGGCUUCACAGGGCGGGCCGUGGAACUGAGGUUUGGAACCGGGAGCCCACAGCUUUAUCACUGGCACGGUCCUCUCCUUCGCUUCUCAGCUUCCAGACACACCUUUUACUCCUAUCUGAACUCCCCUGCAGAAACAGCAAGGACUUUGUGUGUCUGUCCAACAAGCUUCCCACAGCUAAUACCCUUCAUGCAGAUGAAGGCGUUCUCACCCUCUCCCCGACGUGAGGAGCUGCGGGGCCCACGCAUCUCGUGUCCAUCUUUGGGAGGUGUCACACUGCAGCUCUGGGCUCCAUCACAUACUUCCCAAAUCCAGUCACAGGCUGCACUGGUUCCCUACGGCUGCUGUUACAAAUUGCUGCAAAUUUAGUGGCUUCAGACGACACAGAUUUAUAUCUUGCAGCUCUGGAGCAGCUCAGAAGUCUGACCGGGGUCUGGCUGGGCUUAAAUUGCCAGGGCUGUGUUCCUUCUGGAGGCUCUUGGGGAAAAUGUAUUUCCAGCCUUUUCCAGCUUCUGGAGGCUGCCCCAUUUCUCGCCUCCUGGGCUCUUCCUCCAUCUUUAAAGGCAGAAAUACUCCAUCUUUCUCUCCACUCUUCUUUUCUGAAUCCCUAAGGUCUUCCCGGAGUCUGACACAGCAGGACGCUCAGUAAAUACAAGGCAGCGGAUUCUUAUAAGUGUGGCUCCGUGUGAGUCCUUCUUUUCCAGGAGAUUAUAAGCACCAGAGAACCAGGCUGUGUCUACAUCACCAAGAGGGCUGCCUCCAUCAAAUCCAGGCACGAUUGGACCUACGUGCCUGAAACAAGCAUAUCGAAGAUUAAUACGUGUUUUUCAAUUGGCUUAAAUUUUUUCGGUAAAGCAGUCAGCAUGUUAACCUCCCUUCUGUUAAAGAAAUGAUCAAGAAUUCAUACCCUCGUAAGAAUUAGUUCAUAAAUUCUCCAUCAAAGAGUAGAAUGGGAAAAGAAAGAGGGAUAGUGUGAAAGCACAAAGCAUGUUGUAGAGGGUUAAAUGGGGCCCCCACCCCAAAUAUGUCUAAAUCCUAACCCCCAUACUUGGGAACGAUGACCUUAUUUGGAAAUAGGAUUUUUGCAGAUGAAAUUAACUUCAGGGUCUCAAGAUGGGAUCGCCCUGGACUUAUGGUGGGUCCUAAAUCCAGGGAUGGGUGUCCUUAUAAUAACUGGAGAAGACACAGAGCCACGGUGGGGACGGUGACGUGAAGACAGAGGCAGA
ensembl:lncRNA